rnacentral:misc_RNA from 1 species
AAAAAAAAAAAAACAAAAAAAAUCGCCUUUUACAACUGCAAGUUGAUUAACAUUCUAGCAUAAGCACAUAGAAAAUGAUCACCUAUUUUCUCUGUUGUAAAAAGCUUCCGAAGAGCAGCAAUAUGGCCAUCUGCUAAGUCCAUGACAUGGAUGUAGUCACGGAUCUGUUAAUUGAGAACCAUAAGGAUAUUAGAGAACUAUUAGAUAAGUACUAGAAUAGGGGAAAAUAUAUAAUCCACAUCAAAACAGAACUGCUAAAUGGAUUUUGAUAAAGGCAUUUCAUAUGACAAUUUCAAGUGCUUAGCAUUAUCAUGUGAAGAGAACGAUUUUCCUAAAAGAACACAUACCGCACU